UAGCAUUCUGUAGACUUAAAACCCAGUUUCCUGCAAUGAUUACAUUUUAUGUAAAUCUAGGAUAAUUAUGAUAUCAAAGCCAGGAAGCUGACAUGGGUACAAUGCCUUGGUAGAGAGCCGUGUCAUUUUAUUACGUCUCGAUCCCUGGGUGUAUGCACUCCCGUCCGUAACAGCUGCUCCUACUUGGAGGGGAAGGAAUGCAAAAGACACCGGACACGUUUUGAAUGGGGGACAUUUGAAAAGAAAAACUGCAGUAGUUGGAAAAUGCCCACAGCUGAUAACCUUCACCCCAGCCAGUUGAGAACUGCUUUAAAAUGCCUUCAGUAAGAUGAAAUUAUACACUCCAGUAAAGAAAUAAAGACUUUAAAAAGAAGCCUCUAUACACUUA